UGCCAGCCGCCGCGGUAAUACGGAGGGUCCGAGCGUUAUCCGGAAUCAUUGGGUUUAAAGGGUCCGCAGGCGGUCAAUUAAGUCAGAGGUGAAAGCCCAUCGCUCAACGAUGAAACUGCCUUUGAUACUGGUUGACUUGAGUUAUACGGAAGUAGAUAGAAUAAGUAGUGUAGCGGUAAAAUGCAUAGAUAUUACACAGAAUACCAAUUGCGAGGGCAGAUUACUAACAAUUAACUGACGCUGAGGGACGAAAGCGUGGGUAGCGAACAGGAUUAGAUA
rnacentral:rRNA from 1 species